rnacentral:lncRNA from 1 species
UCCUUUUCUGGCAUCAGCGUUGCGGCUCGAGGCAAAGCUGGUCCUGUGCCUGCUGUCCAUUGCCGCUAAGGCCUGCUGCUGCCAUUCAGGCGUGUCUCUCUCUCUCUCUCUCUUUCAUGCCGCUCUCUCCACCCCAUCUUGGGACGGCCAGCUCUAAGAAUUCCUGCUACGACACUGAAUUCAACCAGGAGGCAUGCGCAAGGCUUGAAUGGCGUCGGGGUUGGAGGGUUGGAAGGUCGGGAAGUGAAGGACUCGCAGGCAUAUUUAACAACGCAAAGUUGCUAGGAGUUGGUACCAGCGUUUGGGAGGUAGAGGUGGCGCUCAUGCAUAUUUGAGACAACAUCUGGAUGGUUGGGGAGAACGGUAAGCUGUCUUUGCUUGGCCAUCUUGGGCUAGCAGGCCUUGCAGAGAACUACCUUUUUAGCUGAGUGAAGGGAUCAACCUGAGUUGGAGUUCUCCUAUGCUGUGGCCAGAUCCACUAGAAAUUAACCCAGAAUCUUAGCCUCUCAGUGGCCUAUCGAGGUGAUGCCACACUCAAUCAGAAACUAUGCUACUGCUGAAGAGGUAUAUUGAGCCCUGCCUGGUUAACCUCCAGUGAGGUUAUUAGAGAAUUGGGAGAGGCUCAAAUCAGCAUCCUGCACCUAGUUAUCAAACCAUUGUGAAGUCUUGAGAUUCCUGGAUGGCCAGAAAACUUGUCAUUGGUCAAGAGCAACAUUAAGAUCUGCCUGUUACUCAUACUGAUGCUUCCUGCCCAGCAAGUUCAUCAGAGGGCGAGGAUGAAUUACGGUUGCCAUGAAUGUCCUUGUGAGGCAGUUGGGAAGCCUUGAGGCUGGAUUGUGAAGGAUAUUUGAAAAGUAUUUUAGAGUCCACCAGAUCAUCCAUGUGAGUGACCAUGCAGCAAAAGAAGGAGGGUCCUCUCAGUGAUUAAGGUAAGAUUAUGAAGUAUUAAUUCUUCCACUGAUAUCUCAAAAGGUGAUCUGGACAAAGGAACAGGUAUCUCAGUCAACCUCGAAUACCUGGGAUUACAGGCACCAGCCACCAUGCCUGGCUAAUUUUUGUAUUUUUAGUAGAGAUGGGGUUUCACCAAAUUGGCCAGCCUGGUCUCGAACUCCUGACAUCAGGUCAUCCUCCCGCCUCGGCCUCCCAAAGUGCUGAGAUUACAAGCAUGAGCCAUUGCGCCCAGCCCUCCAUCUCAUAUUUUUAGCCUAUUUAUAGGUUCUGCUUACUUAUGGCUUCAUCUUCCUCAUAAGUUUUGCUUGCUUAUGACCCUCUUGACCUCACCUCUGCAUUGUGUUGGCUUGCUGUGUAUCCUUUCAGCUUCAGUUUCCUUUGCGAACUGUGAUUACUUUUAAUAGCUCGAUUCCAAUUCCUGAAAAGACAAAUUUACUAGGCCUGUUGUAUCCCAGUUUAGUUAAGAUAUUUAUAUACCCACAGCAACAGUUUGUGGAUCUUCACUUUUGUUUUCUGCCAUUAAUAUGAUGAUUACCCUGUUUUGCUGCUUUUACUUUGCUUGUUUCUUAUAGCUUAGCUUAUAAAGUAUCCAUUAACAACUGACUGUUGGACUUCUCUCUCUUUGUUUCAAGGACUGCAAUUGCAAAUGCCUGUAGGAUCCAGAUGCCAUAAAUGUAUAAGAUGGUUCUGGUGUUUUCUUCUUUUCUUGAAACACUGUCUUGUGUGUGUGAGGGGGGUGAUCUUUUGUUCAGUCAUUUUUGAUAGAGACAUUAGAAGAGCGAUUUCUUUAAAAUAUAAACAAGGGUGCAAAUGGGAUGGUAAAGGGCAACUGACGCUACUAGGAGGAUAGUAGGGAGUGUUUGACAUUGUGUGUAAUUGGGACAUACAUAUUUCCUCCAAAAGGGAAGACUUUAGUACUUCUGCUGAUUGUUGCCUAGUGGAAAUGUCUGCCUAAGAUUACCAGUUGUCUACAAAAAGCCUGAUUGGCUUCAGGUUUUUUUUUUUUUAAUUUAGAUAUGAUUUAACGUAUAUGAUUUCUCAUGUGGUACAAAACAUGGUUAUGUACCAUUACCUCUUCAACUCAGCCAGUGGCUUGGCAGUUUCCCUUGUGCAGUGUUUAAAACUGGGCCACAGUUUUGAAUGCAGUUGUGGAUAUUAAAAUGAAAUAGAUUAGGAAAGAAUAGAUUAAGAUAGAAUACAGAUAAGAAAAUAAGAAAAUAUCAGCCUUCAUCUGGCAAAGAAAAUACCAGCCUUCAUCUGGCAAAGGGCAUCAUCAGGCAUCACCAGGAGGUGCUCUGUAUCCAUAGGUUCCCUAUCUGUGGGUUCCACCACCACUGAUAAAAAAUAUUUGGAAAAAAAUACAACAAUGCAAAAUAAUACAAAUUUUAAAAAAUACAAUAUAUUUAUGUGGUGUUUACAUUGUAUUCGUUAUUAUAAGUAAUCUAGAGAUGAUUUAAAGGGACGGGAAGAUAUAUGUAGGUUAUAUGUAAAUAUACCAUUUUAUAUAAGGAACGUGUAUAUCCAUGGAUUUUAGAAUCUGUAGGGAUUCCUGGAACCAGUCUUCCAUGGAUACCGAGGGAUGACUGUAUUGUUCUGUGAAAUUUUUGUCCCAGCUACAUAUUUGUAUGUAUGUAUGUUUUUGGUCCGGUAUAAUUGUAUAAUAUUUCUUACUAUGGGUUAAACAACUUUAUAAGACAUUGUGAGGAACCUGGUAUCCUCUGGACUAGAUCAUUCCCGUAGACAGUUCCAUUGUGCACACAUAGUAUUUCGUUAAAAUCAGGUGACUGUUUAAAAAUUAAAAAGAUUUUAGAUAAAAAUCUAGAUUUUUACUUUCUCCUGAAAUAUCAGAAGAUGGGGUCUAAAUUCACACUGAGGCCAAGCAGUGGUAGGCUCAUUUUAAAGAAGGGCUUUCUGCUCUCUGGUUUACCCCAUUGUAUACUAAUUAGCCUGGUCUUACUUUUAUAUAUUACCUGAAUAGCCACUUAGGGCAUUUUGAACACGUGGCUUGCAUUGCUUUGUCUUUUUGAAAUCCGCUGUGGCAGGCCCAAACCUUGCCUUUGGUGGGCUUAAGUAAGGUCUGGUUUCCAGUACAAAGGCAAAGGCAAAUGAGGAUUAUUAGUAUUCCAUUUUGCCCUAUGGAUAUUCUCAGUGCUUUCUACUGGAAACUCACAACCAAUUCUGAAUAUGCCACAUACUGUGUGAUUUGCCCUUGCUGUCCAACCCUGUUCUUGCUGCCAUUUAAAAAUAAUCAGGCCAGGUGUGGUGGCUCAUUUCUGUAAUCCCAGCACUUUGGGAGGCCAAGGUGGGUGGAUCAUUUGAGCUCUGGAGUUCGAGACCAGCCAGGGCCACAUAGCAAGACCUCGUCUGUUUCAUCCUUCAGAUUAAGGUGCUCCAAUAUAAUCCAUACCACAGCAAACAAAAUCCUGAAGAAUUCUGCUGCCAAUCAUCUUGCCUCUUAACCUCAAUAUAACAAGAACAUACAUAAAAGAGAUUACCGAUUUAGUAAAUGCUAUCAUCUCAUACCCCAUUCACACCACUGGCCUGUGAUAUUCUUCCCCUGGGAGAGAUGUCAAGAUUUAAUGAGAUUCUAUCAUAACCUGUAGAAAAAAUGAGCAACAUGGAAACAUUCCAAUUCCAGUCUUAGGUGAGUUCCAAUGAAAUUACCUGAAGAACUGAACUAGUGCUUUUAGUUAAGGGGAAAAGUGCCCUAGCUUUUAAAAAAUAUGUCUAUAAAUCUAGUUUUAAAAACAUAGCAAUUGGCUGCAUGUGGUGGCUCAUGCCUAUAAUCUCAGCAUUUUGAGAGGCCGAGGUGAGAGGACUGCUUAAACCCAGGAGUUCAAGACCAGCCUGAACAAAAUAGGGAGACCCCCAUCUCUACAAAAAUAAUUUUAAAAAGCUGGGCAUGGUGGCAUAUACCUGUGGUUCCAGGUACCUGGAGGGCUGACGUAGGAGGAUUGCCUGAGCCCAGCAGGCCAAAGCUACAGUGAGCUGUGAUUGUGCCACUGCACUCCAGCCUGGGCGAGGAGAGCAAGACUCUGUCUCAAAAAUAAAUACAUAAAAUACAGCGUCCAAAAGUGUGUCAUCUUCUUUCUCUUCACAAUUUUAUAAUAAGGGGGUAAAAUGCCUGUGAGUCUAUUCAUUAUGGAAAAUAAAAAAGAAACAACCAUUUAAGGCUGAGGCAUUUUGGUUUUCUGCUGGCUUUUAGAUUAUUAACUGCAUUAAGCCCCUCACUACAACUUCACCAGUAUCCUAGAAACAAUUUGGGUUUCCUUUUAGGCAGGGACAGGAAGUAUUCAAAGGACAGACAUAUGGACAGAGUUAGGCCCUUCAGGGUUGAAGUCUGUGGUUUCUUGUGUCUCAAGACUCAAUGUCUUGAGAAGUUGGUGGACCCUGUCCUCCAUCCAAGAAGUGCUGCCAAGGAAACCAGGGGACCUAGCAAAGAGUCAGGAGAAAAUGGCCAAAGGAAUUCUGACAUUCCAUACCUGAAUGAACUGUUUUCGUGAGUGCUUUGAUCACCCUAUCCCCUAUCAAGGCGCUGAACAGGUGGCCCGCAGGAAAUCUGCUGUCGCAAGAGGAGGGCUUUGACUUACUUCCCCUAAUUGUUGAGUAAAAAGUGAUUCUCUUAAUUUCUGUAUUCUGUUUUUCAUAUCACCAGUAGAAGGGUCCUGUGGAUCUAAAUAGAGCACAUUUUAAGGCUACAGAGUAGUAGAAAUUGAUGUUUAGACAAGGCAGCUUGUUCAAAAUCUGAAAGGCACACCCAGAAGCUUUCUCUAAACAUUUUGGCUCCCAUUAAAAAAAAAAAAAAAACAAGCUUCCAAGUUUGCUGGAGCCAUGUUUUCUCUAAUGUCCCCACAGAACAGUGGUUGGUAGGAUGGCGGAGACAUGGACUUCAGAGAGUUCUUGGUAGAAGACUCAAAGAGCCACCUGUCAUGAGACAUCCCACUUCCUUCCCCAGGUUACUUCCAAGACUGAGCAGCCAGGUUUUUGGUAGAUGAGAACAAAUGUUUCUUCCUGAAGCCCUGGGGCUUCAGGUAGGAAGAAGGACUGCUAUACUUGUUCUCACCCUUGGCUUCUGGCUGCUCCAGUUAAACAUGGUUCCCAUUGAUACAGACAUUAGAGUGGGAAAGGACUUCGUUCAUAGACCGAAGACCCUCAAAGGAAAGUCCUUCCAUUUUGGGAAGGGUGACAUUGAUUUCGUUUAGCUGCUUAAGAUAUGUACUUGCUGUUGUCUUGUGAGACAUGACAUCUGAAGCUGAAGAGGAGUCCCUCUCAUUGUUGUCAUUGUCCCACCGGGACUGAAAGUCUCCCAGUUGAGGCAGCAUUUUAGCUUUGAUGUCUACAGGGCAAUCAUGGAUCAGGAAAUUUCUGCAAAUUAGACUUGGAAAACAAGGUCUUGAUCCUUCUUGUCUUUGGACGAAGACUAAUCAUCACUUUUGACUGAAGGUGUAGUGCUGGAGACUAUGUUGGAGGCAGCACCUGAUGCACUAUCCAUAUUCUUCCCCUUGAUCUUGUCUUAAAGUUUUCCAAAUGGAUUCCGAGGCUUGUCUUUGAUGAAAAGGUCAAACAUACUGGCAGUCAUGUUGUUUCUCAUAAGCUGGAUGUCAACCUCAAUUUCUCCUCUUUAUCCUUCUCUCCUGGUUUGGAUUUCAAGGUAUACCACCGCAUCUUCCUGCUCCCCUAGUCUGGGUGCAGGUCCUGCAGGUACACCUCGGCGAAGCCCAAGUACAGUAGCAGCAGCACCUCAAAGGUGGCCUCCUCCUCUGACACUGAGGUGGCAUACUUCUCCUUACCCACCUGAAUCACCGAGUACAUGUUGCUUGUACCGUCAGGCUCUUGGUUCUUGGCCCCUGGCCCUAUGCCUGCAACACUGUCACCUGCACGUGGAUUGGGAACCACAUAGCCCCCGGACCUGCUAAGGCCAUUAAGGACAGGAUGGUGAUGCCUCGGCUGACUGACGUGAGAAGAUUGUCAUGACCCAUGGCCUCUACUGCUGUCCUACCAACAGAAACUUCAUAAUGUUGUGCAGGCGUUACCACUACCUAGUUCCAGAACAUUGCCAUCACCCCCAAAAUAAAUCUUGCAUUCAUUAAGCAGUCACCCCUAUUUUCCCCCAUCCCUGUCAACCACUGAUUUAUGUUCUGUCUCUAUGGAUUCCCCUGUUCCGGAUAAUUCACGUAAAUGGAAUAACACAAUAGAUGCCUUUUAUCAUGGGUUUCUUUCACUUAGGAUGUUUUGUAGGGUAAUCCAUAUAGCAUGUAUCAGGACUUCAUUUUUUUUUUUUUUUUUUUUGAGAUGGAGUUUCAUUCUUCUUGCCCAGGCUGGAGUGCAGUGGUGCAGUCUCAGCUCACUUCAACCUCUGCCUUCUAGGUUCAAGCGAUUCUCCUGUCUUGGCUUCCCAAGUAGCCAGGAUUACAGGCGCCUGGCACCAUGCCCAGCUACUUUUUUUGUAUUUUUAGUAGAGACAGGGUUUCACCAUGUUGGCCAGGCUGGUCUCAAACUCCUGACCUCAGGUGAUCCGCCUGCCUCAGCCUCCCAACGUGCUGGGAUUACAGGCGUGAGCCACCAUGGUCAGCCUUCAUUCAUUUUCAUGGAGAAAAAUAUUUCAUUGUAUGAGUAUACCACAUUUUGUUUAUCCAUUUAUCCAUUGAUUGGUUGUUUCUACUUUUUUUUAGCUAUUAUGAAUAAUAUUGCUGUGAACAUUUGUGUACAAGGUUUUAGUGGACACAAGUUUUUAUUUUUCUUGGGUAUAUAUCUAGGAGUGGAAUUGCUGGGUCAUAUUGUAAUUCUGUUCAACUUUUUGAAGAACUUCCCAACUGUUCUCCAUGGUGGCUGUGCCAUUGUAUAUUCCUACCAGCAGUGUAUGAAGUUACAAAUUUCUCCACAUCCUGAGAACCCCUUUAUUAUUUUCUGUUUUUCUUUUUGAUUAUAGCCAUCCUAGUAGGUGUAAAGUGGUAUCUCAUUGUGAUUUUAUUUUGCAUUUCCCUAAAUGAUUAAUGAUAUUGAGCAUCUUUUCAUGUGCUUCUUGGCCACUAGUAUAUCUUCUUUGAAGAAAUGUCUAUUCAAGUCUUUGGCAGUUUCUAAAUGAGUUAUUGUCUU